AUCAUUUUAUACAGCUGAUGAUGAGAUGGUCAUAGACAACAGCUGCCAUGAAGAUGGAGCUCCUCUAGUACCCAGCAUGAUUGGUGCCUGCGCUUUGCUUUGAAAUACAUACUCAUAGAAGAAAGCUUCCUGUCAACUUAGGCAUCGACUUCCAGUUACUUCAGUUCCUGGGUUAUAAACUAUAGAAGACACCUGAGCCACCCUUUCCUGACUGUGCAUCAGAGACCAAAAUCUGCUUAAGUGUCAGCUCUGAAUAGAUGGAUCGGGGGUCUUGAAAGACUUGCUACACAUCUCUGCAUCAUUGUUCAUAAAAACUUCAGGAAGAUGGAUGUCACUUUUGCUGGAGACCUUAAAUACUGGAGUAUGGAAUUAGAUCUGCAAAUUCCAGGAAGUGAUCGUCUGUUUAGACAACCUCUGUCUCAUUGUAAGAAAGACUGGCUGGAUUCUGCUGGAAAGCAUCGCUCAGUUCCGUAUCAGGGAUGCACCAGGGUAACCGUAAGUCGAAUAUGCAGAAAUAAAAUAAAUAAGGAUUUUU